rnacentral:rRNA from 1 species
UACGAAGGGUGCAAGCGUUAAUCGGAAUUACUGGGCGUAAAGGGUGCGUAGGCGGUUGGUUAAGUCUGUCGUGAAAUCCCCGGGCUCAACCUGGGAAUGGCGAUUGAAACUGGGCAGCUAGAGUGUGUCAGAGGAUGGUGGAAUUCCCGGUGUAGCGGUGAAAUGCGUAGAGAUCGGGAGGAACAUCAGUGGCGAAGGCGGCCAUCUGGGACAACACUGACGCUGAAGCACGAAAGCGUGGGGAGCAAACAGG